UCGAUUGAGGGCUUCCAGUUUUAGUCUUUCAUGCUCUGUCUUCCUUCCUUAUCUAUUGAGCUACCGGAAGAAAAAUAAAAAGGUGAAACUUGAGAUUUGUUUAAAUUAAAUAAUUAGAAGGGCAAAUAUAGAUGAUGAAAUGAAUGAGAUAAAAUACCUGCAAUAAUUCCUUUUCUUGAGAAGCUUUCCACUGUCGGAACUGAUCAGCAUCUCUAAUAAUCAAACAAAUAGGCAAUCAAAACCACACGCAACUGUACCCAAAUAAACCAUACGAUUAACAAAUAUAGAUCAAUCAGCUAAUAGCAUAAUAGAACACGUGAAGACUGGUUGUACUAUGUAACUGUAACUGCUUGAUCUCUAAAUUGUAGGUGACUCAAGACUUGCUGAAGCGUUGAUCCGUCCAUUCUCUCAAUAUUCGGACGUCGUUAGAGAUGCUUCCGCUGAUUAACUUAAUAUGAGAGAGAGAGAGAGAGAGAGAGAGAGAGAGAGAGUUGUGAAUUGCGUGUAUAUAGAUUGAGGUUGAGGCUUGAGGAUUUGAAAAGGUAGGUUUACAUAGGAAAUUUAUAGCAAUUAAGGGCUUUGAUGGUGGAGAAGGGACGUUAUGGUAGAGAUUCGGAACAACAUGAGGUAGGCUUUGAAGAUGAUGAAGGCGGAAAGACGGUGAGUAGUUUAAUUGGGCCACAAAUUAGGUUUCGUUGUAGUCUGUUGGUCUUAAAUCUGGGCAUUUUCUAAUGGAUUACAUUUGUUGAGUGACACGGAAGUAGCUGAUAUGUAAGUUUGGUUGGAUGUGAAUAUUUGUGCUUAUGUGGCAUAGCUUAGAAACCUUGAAAUUAGUUACUUUUAUAUAGUAGGAUAUUUCACGUCGAUCAAAGACGGAUCACUAUGAUGGUCUACCUUCUACGAA
rnacentral:lncRNA from 1 species